CACACUCCUCCCCACUUUCUCUCUGCCAACAAAUAUUUAUCACCAAUCUUAAGUCCCUUCUUUUGUUUGUGUUGGGAAGUUUGUAACUAUGUAAUUUUUUCAGCUUAUGACUGGCCUUUUUCUUUUGUAUUUGUCUCACAGUGUCUAUUACAGUAUUUCCUAAGGGUAUAUCAGAAUCACCUACAGAGCUUCUUAAAAUUGUAAAGGCCUUGACCUUACCCAUGAAGAGCUCCUCAGUCAGGCUGAGGUGGGAGCUGAACAUCUUUAUAUCUAAAAAGUCCUUCUGAUCAUUGUCAUGCACCCUCCAAGCUGAGAACUACUGAUUUACUGCAAUGCUCUCUAUACAGCAGACAUUCAGUGCUUAUUCAUUCAUGGCAUGGAGGCCCAUAAAUAACUUUUCUCUAAAUAGCCUAACCAGAUAUCAACCCCUAGACUACACUAGCUCUGUUCCAAGUGCAACAUGUGGUUUUGAGAUUUCAUUUCCUGAAGUACUACAUGGAGGGACACUGUUACCUUGUCUCUUUACAUUGUUUCCUAUUUGGUGAAAAAUGGAGGCCUGGAAUGCAGCCAUGUUAGACAACACUACAUAAGAAUGUACUCUGGAGUGUUAGAUUAAAAUUACUUAUACAAAGAACAAGAACAAUGUAGAACUAGAGAUUUUGAAUGAAUACAGUAUGCUUACUGAAUAGACUUUCUAAAUUUGUACAGAAAACAAGACCAGGAAUUUGUUCAGUGGUGUCACCCUAGCUACCAGUCUCCUCAACUGCUUAAGGCAGUCCAGGGGCCCCUGUAGACUGAGGAAGACUUUCGGCUUCUAAAGUGCCUCUAAGUGCAGUGAAGUGCUCUAAUCAGAUAAGUAUUAAUAACCCAGGCCCCACCCAGAGCCACAGUUGCUUCCAAGCACCAACUACCAAGACGGUACACUAUUUACAGAGCUCAGUCGGGAAGCAAUAGGAACUUUUUGCAAAGUUGUUCCUCACAGGCAGGAGCAGUCUGAGUCACCCACCCAGGGUGGGAAAGAAAACUGUGACAUUAGCCAGGGCAACGUUAGGAGUCUGAUCUCAGCACCUCUUUUCCCAUUUCAGGAAUGGGCUCCACCUCCUCCAGGAAUCGCCUCAGUUAUUAGUCACAGCUGUGGCUAUAGGGGUCUGCAGAGCCACUCAGCCACCAGGAAAGUUGUGGACUGGGAAGGGGACGACCCCGCCUCCUCUCUGGCGGGCCGCAGAUCCCAGAUUCCACAGGCCUCUCCCGGAGCUCCAUCUUGCUUCCUGCCAGGAGGAGGGGCCGAAAGAGGAGGGCCCUCGAGUCUGGAAAGGCCCCAGUGGGAGGAAGCCGUUUGACAGCAGAUGAGGAAACUGAGGCCCGGAGAGGCUCAGCGUCUCGCUCAAGGUCA